rnacentral:snoRNA from 2 species
AGGCCAUGAUGGGGACACUUGCGUAAUAGCUCCUUGAACCUUUCCCAAGUUUCAUAUAAGGAUUCCCCGUCCUCUUGUGAACAUGUAUUAAUUUCAGUCAUUAACUU